rnacentral:rRNA from 1 species
CCAGACUCCUACGGGAGGCAGCAGUGGGGAAUAUUGCACAAUGGGGGGAACCCUGAUGCAGCGACGCCGCGUGAGUGAAGAAGUAUUUCGGUAUGUAAAGCUCUGUCAGCAGGGAAGAAGAAAGACGGUACCUGACCAAGAAGCCCCGGCUAACUACGUGCCAGCAGCCGCGGUAAUACGUAGGGGGCAAGCGUUAUCCGGUUUUACUGGGUGUAAAGGGAGCGUAGCCGGCAGGGCAAGUCAGCGGUAAAAUCCGGGGGCUCAACCUCGCUCCGCCGUUGAAACUGACGUUCUUGAGUGGGCGAGAAGUAUGCGGAAUGCGUGGUGUAGCGGUGAAAUGCAUAGAUAUCACGCAGAACUCCGAUUGCGAAGGCAGCAUACCGGCGCCCAACUGACGCUGAAGCACGAAAGCGUGGGUAUCGAACAGGAUUAGAUACCCGUGUA